GCAGAAAUUUUUUUUGGGAUCACUUUCUUUGGGAGCUUGGUAACCGCGCCUGUAUGAUGCAAUAUAGGAAGCCUGCACAGCAGGAAAUAGAUUGCGGUCGAAUUCUUUGACGCGACUUAUACUUUAUAUUCACAUUAAUAUCGCUGCGGUUUUGACGCAUUAUUCAUUGGGUCUUUCCAAAAGCUUUGUACCCAUAAAUAAAAUGUAAUAAAAAGAGAACAUAUUGCAAAUUUUUUUUAUAAAAUAGAUCAAAAUAUACCAUAAAUAUCGAAAUAUUGAAUUUCGUUUUGAAUAUAUGCUUGUAUAAAGGUCAUAAGUUCGUGCGUAUUCGAAAUAUAGACACAUAGAACACAUUCAAAUUAUUCAAUUAAGUAAAAUUAACUAUGAAUUUAUUUUAAAAGAUUCCCUGUUUGUAUUAUAUUGUGCACUUUGACUAAUACUGUGCGAGUCGUGUGAGUGUAUGUCACAGAUAGUCUCGGUUGAAACGUGAUGUUUAUACUAGUCGACAAAUAUGCAAACCACACACUCGAAUGCUUAUUAUAUGCGCACUGAUGUCUUUAUCAUGAUUAUCAUGUUUUAUAUCAAAAUUCAAAGAUCAAAAUUUGCCUGGGCGCAAUGCAGAAUGUCCUGUAAAUAAGACACGUUUAUAGAUUUCGCAUUAUAAACUG